CCCAAAGCACACCAACAACAAGCCUAAAACAUUGGCCAGGAUGCCCUCAGGAGCAAACGUUGACAGACACGAGCCCACAGACAUGACCAGAAGCAGCAGGCCGAAGAAGACAUGCAGGGGAAGAUACCAGCUCUUCAACUGAGCGGACGCCCACGGGAAAAGGAAAAAUCCCAGUCCCAGUAACCACUGGAGGAAACAGAGAAGAACUAGUCAAUCCAAAACCCACUGAGAUCAUCGGUGGGGGUGAUGGAUAUACCAAAAUGGGAGAUGGGUCUGAAAUACAGGAGACUCCCGGGACGUCAGCAGCAGAUGUGAAUAGCGGAAGAAAGUAGUUCCUCUUACAAAAGUAUUUUGGACACUCCAUGUUUGAUUUUCUU